rnacentral:siRNA from 1 species
CGGUAGCUGCUGCGUUGCCUA